rnacentral:rRNA from 1 species
UCAGGAGGUUAGUGCAAUGGCAUAAGCCAGCUUGACUGCGAGCGUGACGGCGCGAGCAGGUGCGAAAGCAGGUCAUAGUGAUCCGGUGGUUCUGAAUGGAAGGGCCAUCGCUCAACGGAUAAAAGGUACUCCGGGGAUAACAGGCUGAUACCGCCCAAGAGUUCAUAUCGACGGCGGUGUUUGGCACCUCGAUGUCGGCUCAUCACAUCCUGGGGCUGAAGUAGGUCCCAAGGGUAUGGCUGUUCGCCAUUUAAAGUGGUACGCGAGCUGGGUUUAGAACGUCGUGAGACAGUUCGGUCCCUAUCUGCCGUGGGCGCUGGAGAACUGAGGGGGGCUGCUCCUAGUACGAGAGGACCGGAGUGGACGCAUCACUGGUGUUCGGGUUGUCAUGCCAAUGGCACUGCCCGGUAGCUAAAUGCGGAAGAGAUAAGUGCUGAAAGCAUCUAAGCACGAAACUUGCCCCGAGAUGAGUUCUCCCUGACCCUUUAAGGGUCCUGAAGGAACGUUGAAGACGACGACGUUGAUAGGCCGGGUGUGUAAGCGCAGCGAUGCGUUGAGCUAACCGGUACUAAUGAACCGUGAGGCUUAACCUU